GGCCUGGUGGUGUACUGCAACACAUCCUCUUAAAUUAUAUCUUUGGCCUCGUUUCCGAGGAAGUCCCCCGUUCGACCCGGGGCCAGGCCA